UCACGUCCUCCUCCCACGCUCGAAGGUUU
rnacentral:sRNA from 1 species